rnacentral:rRNA from 1 species
GAUGAACGCUGGCGGCGUGCUUAACACAUGCAAGUCGAACGGUGAACGAGGGAGCUUGCUCCCUCCGGAUCAGUGGCGAACGGGUGAGUAACACGUGAGCAAUCUGCCCUGGACUCUGGGAUAAGCGUUGGAAACGACGUCUAAUACCGGAUACGAGGCGUGGGGGCAUCCCCAACGCCUGGAAAGAACUUCGGUCCAGGAUGAGCUCGCGGCCUAUCAGCUAGUUGGUGAGGUAACGGCUCACCAAGGCGACGACGGGUAGCCGGCCUGAAGGGGUGAACGGCCACACUGGGACUGAGACACGGCCCAGACUCCUACGGGAGGCAGCAGGGGGGAAUAUUGCACAAUGGGCGCAAGCCUGAUGCAGCAACGCCGCGUGAGGAACGACGGCCUUCGGGUGGUAAACCUCUUUUAGCAGGGAAGAAGCGAAAGUGACGGUACCUGCAGAAAAAGCACCGGCUAACUACGUGCCAGCAGCCGCCGUAACAC